GUGUCAGCAGCCGCGGUAAUACAGAGGGCUCAAGCGUUAAUCGGAAUUACUGGGCUUAAAGGGUACGCAGGCGGACCUAUAAGUAUCGUGUGAAAUCCCACAGCUCAACUGUGGAACUGCUCGGUAUACUGUAGGUCUUGAGAUCGGUAGGGGCAAUCGGAACUCUAGGUGGAGCGGUGAAAUGCGUAGAUAUCUAGAGGAACGCCAAAGGCGAAGGCAGAUUGCUGGGCCGAUUCUGACGCUCAUGUACGAAAGCGUGGGUAGCGAACGGGAUUAGAUACCCCGGUAGUCCACGCCCUAAACGAUGUGCACUAGAUCGAGAGGGCUCUGACGCCAACUCGGUCGAAGGAAAACUGUUAAGUGCACCGCCUGGGGAGUACGGUCGCAAGAUUAAAACUUAAAUGAAUUGACGGGG
rnacentral:rRNA from 1 species